rnacentral:rRNA from 1 species
AUUGAACGCUAGCGGGAUGCUUUACACAUGCAAGUCGAACGGAGUGGCGGACGGGUGAGUAAUAUAUCGGAACGUGCCCAGUAGCGGGGGAUAACUACUCGAAAGAGUGGGUAAUACCGCAUACUAUUGGCGCGGCCGAUAUCGGAUUAGCUAGUUGGUGGGGUAAAGGCUCACCAAGGCAACGAUCCGUAGCUGGUUUGAGCGGACGACCAGCCACACUGGGUCUGCGACACGGCCCUGACCCCUACGGGAGGCCGCAUUUGGGAAUUUUGGACAAUGGUGGUAACCCUGGUCCAGCCAUCCCGCGUGUAUGAUGAAGGCCUUCGGGUUGUAAAGUACUUUUGGCAGCGAAGCGGUAUCUGCAGAAUAAUCACCGGCUAACUACGUGCCAGCCGCCGCGGUAAUAC